CAAGAUUUUUUUCUCCAGUGGGGACUGCUGACCUACGGCAAUCCUAGGGUCUGUAGAGGUUUUCGCCCAGGCCAGA
rnacentral:lncRNA from 1 species